AACUUUCACGCAGCAGUUGUAGCACCUACUACAAAAACACUGUCCAAGCAGAAGCCUCUAUUCACAGACCUUCCCUUUGAGUCAAUGAUAAUUUUGUAACUGCCACACCUGCAGCUGUGCCUUAAUUUACUUUGAGGUUUUCUCUCUAUUUUUGACCAACAUGCCAUUUUUAUCAGAACAUGUCCAAAAUACACCAGCCUUCUUACUUGUUUUCAGAACCCCAAACCUUCCCAAUUCCAGUAAAUGUCAGAUGCUAACUUUUCACUUAUUAAAAGUCUUUCACUUAUCAAAAAUCUUUAUAAAAAGUAGUAUUAUUCUGUUUCAGAAUGAGGUAUCUCAUUUAUCUUUUAAGCUUCCAACUACUAGAAAUGACCAGAGGCAUUUCUUUGCUAUACUUAUUUGCUGCAAACUGGAAAGUUUCAGCAGGCAAACAGUUAAGAACUGGGGGGAGGAGGAGGAGGAGGAGAGGGUUGUUUCUUUCCCGGUUCUCAUCAGCCAGCAUGCUCAGUUAGCAGUGCAGAGGUUAAAGCCUCUGAGGUAAGGCAAUAUUAUUUAUAAUCAUCAGCAAUGUACUCUACAUACUUGAAAGUCUGAUUUCGGUCCUUUAAAGGCUGUCAGAGAAAGAGUGGAAACAGAAUUUAGAGAAGCUCAAGUUUUCACUCAUUACUGUGAAGCAGAGGACAUUUCUGAAGCCAAACAGCAUUACUGCAGAAUAAAUAUGCUAAGCACUGCGGGAAGCCAGAUGAAGCCCUAAAUGAAAACAUUCCCGUUAAUGUUUAACCCCUUUCACUUACACCAGAUCUCCACACAAGCGACAGAAUGAAGAAUGCUGACUGACUUCUGCUGAAGGACAAUGGGACUCUCUAUUUAUUCUUAUGAUGCUGCCGUCUCCUGGCUAAUUUCAUACAAGACUGACGAGCACUGCUGGUAGAACAUACAGGCAAAAUUGAUGAACCUUCCACCUAACAUACAACUCCACUUUCUGGAACGCUAAGUGGAAAAGAGGCAUUCUUCCAGCAUGAAAUCCAGUGCAUACCAGAAGUUCUAUACCAAAUGCUUCAAGGAUAAAGCCUCCAUGUAAUUGCUGUGGGAUUCAGGUCUGCUGCACUCUCAUUCUUCUGACUUUCAAUAAGAUAACCUGAACACUUAAUUCAACUACAAUGAGAAGACAGUAUCUGGAAAAUAAAAGAUGAACCCACUUGAUGCAACAAAAUCAGGAUUUUUACUGUGCAUUGCUGUCUGCAUGUUCAUCUACACUUUCAUCUACCUAAAGGAUACAGUUUCUGAAGAGCCAAAUGAACAAAAAUUUAAUGUAAAUAUAGCAGAGUGUGGUUUUUACCCAGAUGAGCUUUGUUCAGCUCUUUUUGUGGGGAAAACUGCUGCCUUUAAAAUUGGAAACUCUUGUCAGAAUACCUACCAACCUAAAACACUCAGCUGCGUUCAGACUUCGUGCAACUGCUCCAUGGUUUUGAAGACUCUGCAUUUUAUCACAAGACCGCUGUCAGAUGAAGAAGGGAAUUUCUCCUUGGCAUACAUUAUUACAAUUCACAAGGAGCUGGAAAUGUUUGUAAAGCUGCUAAGAGCUAUUUAUAUGCCUCAGAAUAUUUACUGCAUACAUGUUGAUGAAAAGUCACCACAGGAUUACAAAGCUGCUGUACAAAACAUCGUCAAUUGUUUUGAAAAUAUUUUUAUUUCCUCAAAAAGAGAAAAUGUUGUUUAUGCAGGAUUUUCAAGAUUACAAGCUGAUAUUAACUGCAUGAAAGAUCUAGUUCAUUCCAAAAUUCAGUGGAAUUAUGUUAUUAAUCUAUGCGGUCAAGAUUAUCCCAUUAAAACAAACAAAGACAUUAUACAAUACAUCAAAAGUAAAUGGAAUGGUAAAAAUAUGACUCCUGGGGUAGUCCAACCACUUCAUAUGAAACACAGGACACAGAUUAGUUACAAGGAGUAUGUACAUUCUGGAAUGUCAUAUGUGUAUCCAACAAAGAAUAUAAAAGCUAAACCUCCAUAUAAUUUGACUAUAUAUUUUGGUAGUGCCUACUACAUACUCACUAAAGAAUUUGUAGAGUUUACAUUGACUGAUGCACGUGCAAAAGAUUUGCUUGAAUGGUCAAGAGACACAUACAGCCCGGAUGAACACUACUGGGUCACACUGAAUCGUUUAAAUGGUAAGAUGAAUGUUAUAUCUACUAUGUAUAAUCCCUGGAGCAACAGCAUUGUAAGGCCUCUGAUAUGGAGAGCUAGUGAGCUCCAAUUCAGAGCUUUAGAACACUGCUUAACUGAGUCACAUUGCAUAAACAUGGUAAUUUCUUCAGCCUUGAUGCUGCCCUUUCAAAAAGUCACAUCUGACAGCCAAGAAACAAAAUCUGAUUCCAGAAAAGUAUUACUUAAGGUGCAGACCGUUAACUAGAAUAAUGUUGAUUAAAAAGGAAGGGUUUUUUGUUAGGUGAAAGCUCAUGCUCUCAAGGAAUUAAAAUUAAUAAAACUGAGAACAAUACCUGUUCAUAUGAUGCAAACAUCUGUAAAUAAAUACUGAACAUGACUACAGUUAAGUCUUCAGCAGUGAGAAUUUUCCCUCUAAUAAGUGGAAAGAAAUCUUAUCAGAACCUUAUGUUUUUAAAGAUGCUCCAGGGGCUACACCACAUGCAGACUGGGAAGGAAACAUACGAGCCAUUAAAUGGAGAGAUCAAGAAGGAACCGUACACAAAGGCUGCAAAGGUCAUUACAUCAGAGACAUUUGUGUCUACGGACUAGGGGAUUUGCAGUGGAUUAUAGAGUCGCCUCAUCUGUUUGCCAACAAAUUUGAGCCUGCAACAUACCCACUUGUUGUGGACUGCUUAGAGAGACGCUACAGGCUUAAAGUACUGCACCAGGCAGAAGUCCCCAUUGAAGAUCACUGGCGUUUUCAGGAAGAGAACUACUUCAACAUGAAGCUGAAUGUUUGAGCUAACUAACACCUGAACAAGUGUUCAAAAUACUGACAGAAAUGUUAACAUUCUUAGCCAUAGACUUCACUCUGUGCAUUAUAGCAUGAGGAUAAGUACACUACUGUACUACCAGCUUGCCAGUGAAAUAAACAGUUAUUUAUUACAGUAAGAUAAACAGCCACAACUAAUGGGUUAAUUCUCAAAGAAAAUGACAUGUCUAAAUCUGUAAUUUACUAAAGACAAGGGAGAAGUUCAUAAUCUUUUAAGUGACUUAUUUAACUGGAAAAAUGUGUGUUCCUUGUGUCCUUAGCAAAAAAAGGACUAACCAAUAUGAAAAUAAUAAAAUGGAUGCAAGACUGAACAAAGAUAAAAUGAAAAGCACAAGUUAAA